AGCCUUUUCAUAACCGAUAUGUUGAUUUAGCGCCGUGACUAACAUAAGUGAAUUUUCCACAUGCAGCGCGAUUUGU
rnacentral:tRNA from 1 species